ensembl:snRNA U6 U6 spliceosomal RNA
GUGUUCGCUUUGGCAACUCAUAUACUCAAAUUGGAAUAAUACAGAGAUUAACAUGGCCCUUGACCAAGUAUGACAUGCAGAUUUGUGAAGUGUUUCAUAUUUUU